UACGUAGGGGGCUAGCGUUGUCCGGAAUCAUUGGGCGUAGAGCGCGUGUAGGCGGUCCGGUAAGUCCGCUGUGAAAGUCGGGGGCUCAACCCUCGAAUGCCGGUGGAUACUGUCGGGCUAGAGUGCGGAAGAGGCGAGUGGAAUUCCUGGUGUAGCGGUGAAAUGCGCAGAUAUCAGGAGGAACACCUAUUGCGAAGGCAGCUCGCUGGGACGUAACUGACGCUGAGACGCGAAAGCGUGGGGAGCAAACAGG
rnacentral:rRNA from 1 species